ACGAACGCUGGCGGCGUGCCUAAUACAUGCAAGUCGAGCGGAAUGAUGAAGAAGCUUGCUUCUUCUGAUUUUAGCGGCGGACGGGUGAGUAGCACGUGGGUAACCUACCUUGUAGAUUGGGAUAACUCCGGGAAACCGGGGCUAAUACCGAAUAAUCCAUUUUGCUUCAUGGCGAGAUGUUGAAAGACGGUUUCGGCUGUCACUAUAAGAUGGGCCCGCGGCGCAUUAGCUAGUUGGUAGGGUAAUGGCCUACCAAGGCGACGAUGCGUAGCCGACCUGAGAGGGUGAUCGGCCACACUGGGACUGAGACACGGCCCAGACUCCUACGGGAGGCAGCAGUAGGGAAUCUUCCACAAUGGACGAAAGUCUGAUGGAGCAACGCCGCGUGAGUGAAGAAGGUUUUCGGAUCGUAAAACUCUGUUGUAAGGGAAGAACACGUACGAGAGUAACUGCUCGUACCUUGACGGUACCUUAUUAGAAAGCCACGGCUAACUACGUG
rnacentral:rRNA from 1 species